rnacentral:lncRNA from 1 species
UGGGCUUCUUUGUGCAUGGAGAGUUUUCACGAGAAACCUUUUCUCGCAUAGAAUAAGUGAUGCACAAAAGAAAGGGGUGGCGCAUAGGAUUUGUUGCCUAUUCAAAUUCAAACAUCCUUUGAAUUUGAAUGGCCAACCAACCUUAUCAUUAUCCACCCAAAUGGUGCACACAUGUGGGGCGUGGGAAGGCUUCUGCGUGGGAGAAACUUCAUGAGAACUUGUUUCUCAUGAAUUCAAAUAGGCGCAGGUGAGUGAGGUGGCACAGAGAGAUAAAUCAAAGGUGGUUUCAAACCUAAUUGAACCAACCUUAUUAAAAUAGGUUAGACAUAAUUAGACUAAAUUAA